GCCUCCGCGCCGACGCUCACCCCUGGUUCCCCGGAGCCCGUCCGCCGCCUGGAGGAAUCCUCCACCCGCAGCUUCACACCCUGGAGGGUGCCCGUUCGGGAUGUGGGUUUCUGACGGCCGCAGGGCUCACGGUCCGCCGAGAUAAUCCCUCGAGAGCCUGUUCUCGGUCGUGAGGGGGACAGGGGUCCACGGUCAUUCCACGCCGAGGGACGCAGGCAUCGGCCCCAGACCCAGACUGAGACCCGAGGUUGUGGACCUCAGGUUGGGCGACCCUGCCCAAUCCUGUGUAGUGAAGGGGUACAGGACUCGCUGGCUGCCCUUAUUACUUUACAACCUCACACUUUAGUUUCUAUUCCAGAACCUAUCCGCCCCAUUUCGUCUACCCGUCGCAGCUCCGGAGAUCCCAGCUUUCUCCCACCCUUCUGGGGCACAGUUUAAAACACAAUUACCCCUCCCGGGAAUUUACAGGAGAGGAAGAACUGUCCGGUUGCGAUCUUUGGUUGCCAACCCUGAGACUUCACCUCACCAAACGUGGGCAGUUUGUUCUGAUAAAAAAGCUUCCGAGGGGUGACUGGUGAGUUGGUUGAGGCCUGGGCCUGACUGCAGGCACGAGGGCCUGUUCUGUGGGACUUGAAUUUCAUCACCUCUUUAAGUUCCCCAGGGGAUUAUUACAUUUGACCAAAAGUUUCUAGAAAAAUAAUCAGCUGUUGAGAAAGAACUGCUGGGGUUGCACCAGGGACUUCCCUGCCUGUCCUGCAGCACGGCUGGGGACGGUAGGUCAGCGAGAGGGAGGGAGGUCCCAGACCCUGCCAAGUCUGGGGAAAGGUUCCUUUCCUCCAAAGAUAUGUGUUCCCAGGGCUUGCCAAUCCACCUGUCUCUGUCCACUCUCCCCUGAGAAUCCUUGGGUGUUGGACAAAAGAGUCAACCUCCCUUUGCUUGGCCCCAGGAGGAAAUUGGCACAGAAACGCAUCUUUGAGACCUGCUGCUCCUCCUUUUCCCACAGACACCAGAGGUGGCAGCCACCUCCCAAGCCCCAGGACACAAAGCAGCGUUGAGUUGCUGAGCUGACCCAAGAAUUUCCUGGCCAGAGCCAAGAACUAGACCAGCUGGAACAGCUCUGCUGUGCCCAGUUCACCAGUCCCUCCCUGCCCUGCUGCUGCUCUAUCCUUGUCCACCUGGACUUCAGGAACCCACUGCUGGUCAAAGGGACUGGGUCGUCCUCCCGGGAAGUGUCUCACCAACUACAGAUCAGAAAGAGUUCCAAGUGUCUGCUGUGCUGUGGAACCCCAGAGUGCUUUCACCUUUGCUGACUGGGACUCUCUCAGCUGCUGGAAGCACCUACUCCAUGAUGGCCCGCAGGAGGACCCAGCUGGAGACAGUCCUGACUCUGAGGGAACAGUAAGGAAGAAGGGUGAAACGGAGGUCCAUUUGAGAGACCUGCUUAAGUCCUCAUCUACCUGCUAUCUCGGCUGGCUGCUGCUGUUCCAGGUGACAAAAAAAGCAGCUAUAAUAAGAUUAAUAAAUGUAGAAGACAACUACCAUCAUCACGAACCUUUCUCAUGUUCCUUCAACUGUCUAAGGGACAGGGGACAGGGUUCUGCCAAGAAGAAAUACUCAAAUUGUACUCAACUAUUUUAAGAGAGUGGUUCUUAACAGGAAAGUAAUAAAAGACCACCUACCAUGGGACUUGGCAAAAAACUUGAGCACUUUGACUCCCUGCAGAAGGGGGCACCCUAACGCUGGGUGGAACCCUCGCUGCAUUCCCAGUAGAGAGCCUUUUAUAUAAUUUGGUCAGUGUGUGAGCAUGCUCAUGGCAGCUGAAUCAAAGGUCUGAUGGGUUGAAAUGGGAGAAGGUGCUUGGGGACGUGGCCCAAAAAAUACACCUUGGAGCAGGAAUGGGACAGAGUCUAAAAUGCCAAAUAUCUAAAAUUCCAACUGCUCUUUCCAAUUUCACUCAUGACAAGAGGAAGGUUCUACAUGCCAAUUCAUUUAUUGAAUAGAAAUGACUUUAUACUGUAUUGCCAACUCAUUAUUGACCAGUUACUCAAUAACUCUAUUGUGUUAUGAAUUCAACAGUUAAAUAGAAAGCACUGCCCCCACAAAAGAAUCUGAGGUGGAAGUUUUAACUAGUCAAAUAUCUGAUCUUUGAUAAAUCACUUAAGUUCUCAGAUAUUCAGUUUUUCCUCCGAUAAUAGCAGUUCUCAAAGUAUGGUCUGCACACUUUAGGGAGAUUCCUGAGCCACCAGCAGGGAGCAAGCAAGGGCAUGAUAAUUUUCACAAUAAUAUUAAAACAUUAGUCUCUUUCACUGUGCUGACAUUUGCAGUGAUGGUGUAACACCUAGAAAGUGUGCAAUUGCUGGCACCACAGCACAGACUGAGGCAACAACCCUGAGGUCUACUACUUGUUACUACAUUCUUAGCCACUGUGUACUCAUGAUUUAGGAACAAAAGAGAAAAACCUGUAAACAAAAAAAAAACAAAAGAAAAACCUGUAACCACAUAACAAUGUCCCUUUGAUAAAGCAGGAAAAAUUAUUUUGUUAAACCAUAAUCUUUAAGUACUCAGAAGACAUUUUCUGUUGCACACUGAAGCAUGAUGGCUGUCCUGAGAAAAAGCACAGGGCAACUGAGUUGUAAGAAGUAACUGCUCUCUUCAUGAAACACCAGUUUUAUUUGAGAAAAAAAAAAGACAAACAGGUUAUUCAGACUUGGGUACUGGCAGACAUCUUGAAAAUGAAUGAAGUGAGCCUUUCAUUUCAAGGAAAACGGACUGACAGUACUGCCAGUAAUAAAAAGUUUUCAAGCACACGUUAUAAUUUCAGAAAAGUCGUAUCACCACCAUGAGCUUGACACUCCCUAAAAUUUAAAGACUUUUCUGAGAUUCGUGCUACAAAUGAAAGUGGUUUUUUGGUACUGUAUGAUAAAAUUUAACAAUACCUGAAAGAUCUGCAUAGCCCAUUACACCAACAUGGAUGAGGGUUCAAAAUCACGCAUGGGUGAAAGAUCCAUUCUCAGUUUAAGACAGACCAACAGAACUUAAAAGAGUAUGUUCACCAAGCUGCCUUCAGAGUCCACAUUGCAGCUAACUGUUGAACUACUAUCCACUGAGGUUUGGUGUAGUAUCAAAGUAGAAUGAACACAAUCAUCUGGAAGGCUAUUUAAAUACUCACUUUUCCAACUGCUUCUCUAUGUGAGACCAGGUUUUCUUCAUACACUUUAACCAAAACAAUAUAUUCCAACAAACUGAAGUUGUGACAUUAAAGGAGUUUACAGAAUUAUAGAAAAGUGGCACUCCUCUAAUACUUUUUGUUUUACUUCAAGUUGUUAAAAACAAUGGACUAUUUCAAAUCAAUCUCAGUUUUAAUUUCUACUAAUAACGAGCAAAUAGAAAAUCACGAGCCUUGUUGAUAUCAGAGGCAGGCAAGGGUUAAUAGACAUAAUCCACAUAAAGCUCUUUAGGGUCCUCAGUAAUUCUAAAAGAGACACGAGUCAAGAACCUAGCCGAGUGCCUGCCAAACUGGAAGAGCAUCACAAAGCAUAGCUAGUCUACUGCCACAAACACACCUGAUACCAUAUUUACUGUUAAUACAUAGAAAUCUGCCUUACAACUAAUGAAUGGACUUUUAGCAGCUGAGUUGCUAAUGUGUGUGGAUGUGUUAAAGGAAGAAGUGAUUUCAUCCCACUAUGUUAGUGCUCGGUCUGACAUGAAAAGGCUGGAGGUUAGGUGGGGGAAUGGAGACAGAGAGACGAACAGGGGAAACCUGAACUGAGUGCUGAGUCCUGAGCCAGAAAACCUACGACUAAGUCCAGGCAGGGCCUCCAGUGUCUUAGGUGUAGGUAACACAAUCAGGCCAGGCUUAUCUCCAGGCAGCUUCUAUUCAGCCUCCAAAGCCUUCAACGGUAAAGAACCGGUAAAGCACACUCCACACAUCUACCAAGAGGGCAUGGUAGAAAAGAGAUAACUGGAUAAUUCUCCCGAAAUCACACAGCUGCUAAGCAGGUAUUGGCACACUGAUCUGAUUCCAAAGCUUGGGCUCUUCAUCCAAUGCAUCAGAACACCUUCGCAGGUUGUUGCUGUUGUUUUUCAGUCACUAAGCUGUGUCUGACUCUUUGCGACACCAUGGACUGUGGC